GAUGAACGCUGGCGGCGUGCCUAAUACAUGCAAGUCGAACGCUGAAGGAAGGAGCUUGCUCUUUUCGUAUGAGCUGCGAACGGGUGAGUAACGCGUAGGUAACCUGCCUGGUAGCGUGGGAUAACUAUUGGAAACGAUAGCUAAUACCGCAUAACAGUAGAUGUUGCAUGAUUUCUACUUAAAAGGCGCAAUUGCUCCACUAUCAGAUGGACCUGCGUUGGAUUUGCUAGUUGGUGAGGUAACGGCUGAACAAAGCGACGGUUCAUAGCCGGCCUGGGAGGGUGAUCGGGCACAAUGGGAAUGGGACACCGGCCAAGCUCCUAAGGGAGGCAGCAGGAGGGAAUCUUCGGGAAAGGAGGGAAGUCUGGACGGGGAAAGGCGCGGGGGGGAAGGAGGUUUUCGGAUCGUAAAGAUCUGUUGAAAGGGAAGGACGAGUGUGGGAGUGGAAAGUUCACACUGUGACGGUACCUAACCAGAAAGAGACGGCUAACUACGUG
rnacentral:rRNA from 1 species